rnacentral:rRNA from 1 species
GAGUUUGAUCCUGGCUCAGGAUGAACGCUGGCGGCGUGCCUAAUACAUGCAAGUCGAGCGAACGGACGAGAAGCUUGCUUCUCUGAUGUUAGCGGCGGACGGGUGAGUAACACGUGGAUAACCUACCUAUAAGACUGGGAUAACUUCGGGAAACCGGAGCUAAUACCGGAUAAUAUUUUGAACCGCAUGGUUCAAAAGUGAAAGACGGUCUUGCUGUCACUUAUAGAUGGAUCCGCGCUGCAUUAGCUAGUUGGUAAGGUAACGGCUUACCAAGGCAACGAUGCAUAGCCGACCUGAGAGGGUGAUCGGCCACACUGGAACUGAGACACGGUCCAGACUCCUACGGGAGGCAGCAGUAGGGAAUCUUCCGCAAUGGGCGAAAGCCUGACGGAGCAACGCCGCGUGAGUGAUGAAGGUCUUCGGGUCGUAAAACUCUGUUAUUAGGGAAGAACAUAUGUGUAAGUAACUGUGCACAUCUUGACGGUACCUAAUCAGAAAGCCACGGCUAACUACGUG